GUAGAAUGUUUAUUUAUUUAAACACUUCAGCAGCUAUGACUUGCUUUAGAUAUUUGACAACUUACAGGUAUUAUUAUUUGUAAGGAAUGAAAAAUUAACAAACACAUUACCAUUUCUCGUUGCAUAGAGAAUUUCAAUAACACUAUUCACAUUUAUAGCAUUGCAUCUGACCACUACUUUCCUUCUGUCCAGAAAGAAAUAAAACAAAGGCUUUGUGCAUCAUGCCCAGAAAGUUAAGAGAUUCAUGCAAAAACAGAUUUUGGCAAAAAACAGACAAAGAAAGAAGUUUCUUAGCUCAGAAUUCUCUAUGGAAAUGGUCUUUGUCUGUAGCCCUUAUUACACUAAUCACUUACGAACUUUGGUUCUGUAAGGAAAAACUUCAGAGGAUGGUACAGUGCUGUCUUGGUGUGACACACAGCUCAGCACCUAGCAUGACUUUGAACUCUGUGGAGGCAAAGACUGUCAUAUUUAAUUUGGUAUUGACUUGCAGGGUUUGUACUCUCUAUGUGCCCUGAUAGCGUUUGGAACUGUGGCUCUGUCAUUAACCGGUGCUUUGUGAGAGAUGGGGCAAAAAGGCAGUAUUUCUGUACAGUCAUAGAGUAGGAUUCUAUACUGUAACAGGCAUGCGGUGUGUGUCUGAAGUACGUGGGGAAACUCAUCUGGGCAAACUAAACUACACCCUAGGUAUUUUUUCCUCUUUUUGUUUUGUGAGUAUGAUACUGAAGUGAUUUGAGAGCUCAAAUCAGUGGCUUCCAAAAAGCAAAACGUGCAUCUCUAAUAUCUUCAUGUUUAGCUUCGUUUAGUGCAUUUUUAUUGUUCAUAUUUUAUAUCAAAAGAAAACCCUGCUGAAAGGAAACUACCACAGCACAUGACAUUGAAAUGCACAUAUAAGGUUUCACAGGAGCCCUGUCACCAAACACUGUGUUGGAGAUGCAUGAAAUUACAAUCCUGCAAAUGACUUUACAAAGUGGGGAGGGAAUGAAGGGAGGUUUAAGUAGCAAUAAUUACUUAUUGAAUUGCUCCUUCUCUGGGCAGACAUCAAUAAAAGACAAUAAUGCUAGAAGCUACGGGACUUGUGUAAGAUUAAAUUACAUUAACUGGUGUUAAUUGAAUAGGAAUGCAGAAGCUCAAAUUAGAAACAAUGUACGCUAUACUCAAAUAUAAUUACAGAAAGGAAGUACACCUUGCCAACAAGGAUAACAAACACUACUACAUAUCAAAAAACCAUAUUAGAGCUGGAGCAGCUGGUUUUUAUGGUCUAGGUUGCAAGGCUGAUUGAUAGCUCUUUUUUAAAUGACAUAUCAGGAGACUAAGUAUUAGGACUGGUUACACAUUCCCGUGUGCCACACUGAAAAACUUAAUGUUCAAGAGCUCGAUCCUAGUUCCUAACCGCCUUUUUCUUCCAUGGCACCCACUGGUGGGUGCGCUUGUCCAGUGCACAUGCCUGUGCUGGGUGCUGGGCAACAGGCACUUAGGUGACAGGAAGACCUGGCAGCCAGUGCUGGAGGCUCCCUGCAUGCUCAGUAGGAGACCUGCAGGUUACUUUGCCAGCAGGAACUGGUGAGGCCUGAAAGGCCUUGGGCAGGGGCUCAAGGGAUUUUGUAAAUAUCAAUAGUUUUUAUUUCGCCUUGUGAAUUCCUUAAGUUUCACUGCGGAAAAAAUCAGUACAUUCAGUAUCCACACCUUGGAUACUUCCAGGCAAGCAAUGGACACUAUGAAAAGGUAAAAUGAUUUCCCUGAAUAUACACUAGAUGGAACAUGAUUCAGUCCCUUACAGUGCUCCAUGACAGGUUGUUCUGCUGGAAAGCAAAAGUACUUCAGUUACUGUGGUAUAAUUUGUUUGUUCAAAAUGCCUCUUCUGCAAAAGGGUAAUGAAGGGGGUAUCAUCAAACAAGAAUUUCUCACAGAAUUUAAAUGACUGAAAACUUUGGUUUCCUCCUUUUGGCAAACUAUGUAUGCCAGGAAUUAUGCAUUAGAAUAGUUUAACACUAAUACUAUGUUGACUUAAAGCAUGUCUACCAGUUUGAAUUAUGAAAUUUUUCCAUUUUCCAGAAUUUAA
rnacentral:lncRNA from 1 species